GUCCAGGUCGCCUAAUGGUAGGGCAUUGGUCUGCAAAACCGAUUGUGUGAGUUCAAUUCUCACCCUGGACUUCA
rnacentral:tRNA from 2 species